rnacentral:lncRNA from 1 species
CCUGGUUGUCAACAGCAGCUCAAGUUUGUUUGGAGAUUUGGAAAUAAAUUCUUGAGCCUGACCGUGCAAUCUCUCUUCAUGAGAAAAUAUUGCCCAUUGCACCUGUACAGCACAGUCCCUGCAGACCAGGGAAUGAUCUGCAAAGCAGGCAGUUGGUCCAACAUGCUAUAAACUGCAAUUCAAGAAAGGAAUGUGUUUGGAUAUGAAGUGCUCAGAGCAGCCCUGAAGAAACACUUAUGAGACAAUGCAAGGGGCUGUAGUGCUUCAUGGAAGCGGGAUUUGCUUUUUUGCCAGAAAGAGCAUCGAGAGGCAACCAAAGACGCAAGGGACAGGCUGUUUGAGCAGUCGACCCUUCCAUCUCAGGUUGGUCCUAUGGACCUCUCAUUUCAGUUGCAUGCGAAGACGUCUAGAGGAUCCGUUUGCUGGCCUUUGGCUAUAGAGAUUGGUGUUGCAGAUGAAAUUUUCUGAGCAGAAGCCUCUGAAAGCAGCACUGUGGGGAACACAAUGGCCGUAUGGUACACAAUGGCCAGCUUUAAUGGCUGAUGGAUAUGCUAUGCCUGUUGCUUUCAAGACAUGCUACAAAAACAGACAGCACUAACAUCAGAUACUGUCUUUUAUUUUUACUGCUCUUUUCCAACAAGAAUGGCACUGAUGAUGACUUUAGCCUUCAGCUGCUAAGCACCUUUUCACUCUUUCCCGAAGUGUGUGGUUAAUAAAAGCAAGUUGAGUGUACUCA